ensembl:lncRNA
GCUGCUCAGAGACAAACAGACAGAGACAGCGUAGCGCGAUGUUUCCAUUGCCCUCCGAUUCCCCUGUCGUCCCUGAGCAGAUUCCCCGUAACCAUGGUGAGGCGGAGGACGGGAUGCAGCAUUCCUUUAGGAAGCGGGAUGGGAAGCUUUCGCCACAGAGAGGCAAUUGUUUAUUCAAGUUUAUGCCCUUGGAAAGAGGAAGCGAGAGAGUUGGAGGAGCAGCUUUAAAGAGUUUGGGAUUGGAUGGCGGCGCGGGUGUGCGGCCGAGCUCCACCAUGGAACCUCUCUGUGGCAGAACUCAAGUCCCCAGGCUGUGACAGCUGUGGGCCCCGAAGUGGCGUUUCCCAGAGAGCCGGCCAAACAUUCCGCCCCGCUUUGUGGACUCACAAUGGGCACAAUAAGUUCGCCAACAGCACAGCAUCAGCCGGCGAGGGGACGAGGAGAAGUGCUGGCUUGUUUUCCCAGAGUGUCAAUUAUCCGGCCAGCUAUACAGCUUCUUCUUCUCUUUUCCUUUCCUCUCUUCACUUUUAAUUUUUUGUGCUCUGGCAGCGACGCCUCCCUUUUGAGAGACAUUAUACGGCUUGAAAUACAACACUUUUCCACUUCCAGGCUUGCCCACGCUUUGUGGAGCGGCUUAAUUUCCCAUCUACUCUCGGCUUUAAGUGCAGCUCAAUUGAUCUGGAGAGCGGCGUUAAGGCUUGCGCGGAGAGUUGAAAGAAUGCUGCAGAACGAGCGUCGUCAAAGACUAUGGCGCCGCAGCGACGGGCGGAGAGACACUUCAAACCGCUUCACGCUUCUCCGCUGCUUUGACAGGAAGGCAGCCAGCAGCACCCCCGGCUUCAGAUCACAAUGCAAAACAUAUCUUCUCACAUUCUUACUGACUUUGAAACACACAUCCAUCCUAUCAGCCAGGAUGCGCUGCACUGAAGUGACGAGGCCUUCGCUCCCACACCUCAUUAAUACAUGAAAGCCUUGUCGUCCUUAUCGCCGCCGCUCUCUGUUAAGACGACCCCGCUCGGAUGACCCUCACGUCCGCAUUCAGACAUUUAGCCCUCGCCAUAAAAGAAGAACAACAUCAACAUGGCUUCAUACCUGCAGCAUGCUAAUUUUUCUGCGGGUAACGGAGCUCUUUUAGAAAGCACGAAGCAGAGCGAGAGGCAAUUUAUUAGUCUAAUUUAAAAUGUCUGUCAGCCGAACGCUAUGGGAGGCGAUAACUGGCUGCAGGAUGACAGCGCUGCGAAUGGAGGGUGUCGGCAUACAAAGUGGAUACACACAGACGCUGUUUAUUAUGCUGGGGUUAAGACAGUGACCUGUGUGUGUGUGUGGGGGGGGUGACUCAUCAUACAGAUGUAAAAACACACACAUUGAUGGAUUGAUAACUGGAGACUCGUUUAUUAUCCGUGGGGGCAACCUGAUCUCAUACACAUUACUGUGUGUUUGCGUGUGUUUGUGAGUGUGUGUAACGCAAUACCCCAGUUUCGCAUUUCUAAUAAUUUCUGUUCACGGCAGGCUGACUUUUGAACUGAUUCUAGUCAGAAGUGAGGAGUGAGAGGCUGUCUCUGCUGGGUCGGGGCGCACAGGGGGAUUGCAGUGGAUUUUGUAAAUAAAUAAGCUGAAAUUCUGC